AGUGGUGUAAUGGCGUAUAGCAUUCCUGCCCUCCCAGCAGGAGGUGCGGGUUCGAGUCCCGCCU
rnacentral:tRNA from 1 species